rnacentral:lncRNA from 1 species
AGAGCAGCAAGCUGUGACUCAGAACACACUGAAGGGCAAUUCUUUGUUUCCUGAUUGCUCCUUACGCACUGCACUCGCUGUCACAGCAGCCCAAGCACAGCUACACACAGAGCUCUGCUGCAGAGGGCAGCUACAGCCCGGGAACCCACACAGACAGACAGGAGAGGAAACUGAAGUAGGAAUACAAUCCAAAUGAAUUCUGGACAGGCACUACCUGAAUCAAACCUGAAUCAUUACCUGGCUAGCAAACAAUCCCAACUAGGAUGCCAGGUCGGUUUCUAUGAAGAACAAUAAAUAACAACUCUCUGCUCUUAGGACUUUACUUUCACAUAUUAGGGAAUCACCAGCUGUGACAUAUUUACUGAAGCAAAUAUUACAAAAGCACCAAGAUAACAAAAUACCAUUUUGUCCCUUUUAAUAUCCCAGGUUUAUAUUACUGCAAUUAUUUCUAACAAAAUUAUUUUUUGUGCAUGCCAUUAACUCAAUGACAGAGCAGCAAGCAUCAAAGUUUUCCCUCUUCCUGCCUUCUGGACAAGUCAGCCCUCCAAAGUCCCUUAGACUUCUCUUGCCACAUUUAAGAUUGUUGUUAGCCAAAUCCUAGAAGACAGCAGAGUACAUCCUCAAACACCAAUCACCUAUAGAAAAGCUCUCAAGCAGAUCAAUCACAAAUUCACGAGGAAGAUAUUUGUGUAGCACUGUAUAGAUUAACCUAGUUCUAUUUUAGGUUACUCCAGUCACUCCUGGCUGCGACAACAAAGCGCCUUCUCUGCAAUCACGUUUCUAACCCGUCAAAAAAGAAAAAAAAAUUAAAUGAAGCCGACUUUUGAAACAUAUUCCUCCCACUCCCCUGCUCCAAAAGGCUGCAGAGCAAACCAGAACCUUGGCACCUCGCGCCCGGACGGAGCCACACUGCAGCCAGCCCAGCAGCGGUGGGGUGGCAGGGGCCGCAGCUCUGCUGGCUGCCUCCCAGCAGCUCCCCAGGCACCUGGAAACACCGCCCGAUCCUCAGCGUGGGAAGAUCGGAGACGCAAGAUUAGCGGAGGAACUACAACCAGACAACAGCGUCUGCCCCGGCUGCUGCCGUGCUCAAACACACGCUCUGCCCGCCACAGCGCGUGGAUCUGGAGGAACGCCCCAAGCCAUAAAAGCGCCAACAAGAAGGCAGGAUUUACCGUCGCUUACACGGCACGAUUUCAAGGCCGGUGUCCGGCGCUAAGUGCCAGCCCCGCCGCCCCCUCACCUCGGGCCGGGCCCGCGCUCCCCUCUCCCCUUAGCGGCAGCAGGGCGAGGGGCUCCGGCC